CAACGUGGGUAACCUGCCUUAUAGUGGGGGAUAGCCUUUCGAAAGGAAGAUUAAUACCGCAUAAGAUUGUAGUAUCGCAUGAUAUAGCAAUUAAAGGAGCAAUUCGCUAUAAGAUGGACCCGCGUCGCAUUAGCUAGUUGGUGAGGUAAUGGCUCACCAAGGCGACGAUGCGUAGCCGACCUGAGAGGGUGAUCGGCCACAUUGGGACUGAGACACGGUCCAGACUCCUACGGGAGGCAGCAUG
rnacentral:rRNA from 1 species